UACGUAGGGGGCAAGCGUUGUCCGGAUUUAUUGGGCGUAAAGAGCGUGUAGGCGGUUCGGUAGAUCCGUUGUGAAAACUCGAGGCUCAACCUCGAGACGCCGAUGGAAACCAUCGAACUAGAGUCCGGAAGAGGAGAGUGGAAUUCCUGGUGUAGCGGUGAAAUGCGCAGAUAUCAGGAAGAACACCCGUGGCGAAGGCGGCUCUCUGGGACGGUACUGACGCUGAGACGCGAAAGCGUGGGGAGCAAACAGG
rnacentral:rRNA from 1 species